rnacentral:tRNA from 1 species
GGACGUUUAGCUCAGUUGGUUAGAGCGCACGGUUCACAUCCGUGAGGUCGGUGGUUCGAGCCCACCAACGUCCACCA